UACGGAGGAUGCGAGCGUUAUCCGGAUUUAUUGGGUUUAAAGGGUGCGUAGGCGGUCCGUUAAGUCAGCGGUAAAAUUGCGGGGCUCAACCCCGUCGAGCCGUUGAAACUGGCAGACUUGAGUUGGCGAGGAGUACGCGGAAUGCGCGGUGUAGCGGUGAAAUGCAUAGAUAUCGCGCAGAACUCCGAUUGCGAAGGCAGCGUACCGGCGCCAGACUGACGCUGAGGCACGAAAGCGUGGGGAUCGAACAGG
rnacentral:rRNA from 1 species